GGAAAUGCUCGGCUCAGUGUCUGCCCAGAAAGACCCUUGGCGAACAAGGGCGUUACUGAUGUUAUUCUCCCGCUGAUGGACACAGGGCUGAACUGAGAGGCAGUUAAUGAUAUUCUGUUGCUAGGUGAUCAAUGAGGCUGAAGUGGCAUGAAGUCCUCAAAGUGGGGUCUGUGGACUUGCAGCUUGUUCAUAUUGUAGAGUCUAGGCUGGGGCCCAGGAGCUUGCAUCGUUAACAACCCUGGCACAGAAGAGGGUGCGAUACACUCACCGCUCAUCUAGGAGCUACUGUGGUCUUUUGUCUAGGAUUGGGAGCCCUACAUUUCCCUCAGGUUCACACCUCUACUAUGAAGUUAAGUGGCCGGGGAGGUGUGGCAUGUCAUAGGCAAAUGUUUUCAAGGCCUGGCUGUACAACGGAAUCAUCUGGAGAGCUCUGGACACCACUGAUGCCUGGGCCCCAACUACACGGAUUUCUAUUAUUAUGAUUACUUGGAAGGUAAAAACAAAAAAAUCAUGAUUUCUUUUUCUUUUUUUCUAUACUGGGAAUUGGACCCAAGGCUUUCAUCAUGCUAUGGCAUGCUAUGUUCUAUAGCUGUACUAGAACCUCAGUCCUAAGACAUCUUUGAACCGUUCUGCAGCGCUAGGGAAUACAGAUUUUUAUUCUAAUGGACAAUGUACGCAUUUAAAGCUCAAGGUUCAUUUAAUGAGAUGGAAGGGUGGAAUGGAGCCUGGAGGAGAUUAGUUAUAACGAACUGAUUUAAUGAGAAACAUUUUUUUUUCUAACUCUUACUAUGCUUGCCUGUUUGUAUACUGGUAUGAGUUGAUUGUGAGCAUGUGUGAGUGUGUGCAAGUGUGUUAGUAAGUGUGUGUGUGUGUGUGUGUGUGUUGGGCACUGAACUCAGGGCCUCGCCCACUGAAAGCCCAUUUUACCACUGGGCUACCCUGGAGGCUGGCACUACAUACUUUGAUCUUUGCCUCGUUCCUGAAAGCUUCAGGGAGACUUUUCACGUGGGACUCAUGGUAACACCUGAUUCACGGUGCGUAUUUGAUCUAUAUCUGUUAAAUAAAGCAUGAUUUUUAAGAGAACACUUCAGUAUUUUGCCAACUCCUAAAUUCCUCCCCCAAGUCUCCUGCUGCAGCUCCCUGGAAGACACUCAGUCAGAGCUAAGGCCUCAGCUGGCACCUUACCCUUGUGUGUAAUCACGCUGGUCAGGGGAUCUCUGACGUCAGUCGGCUCUGGAUGCAUUCCCUGCGCCCUCCUCAUCCUCCCUGACAAAUUCCAGGGAUGGGGACCAACCUCUUAUUCAAAGAGCAAUUUCCUUCCUCCCUACACUAUUCGUGCGGGUAACCAGGGGUCUGUCUGUUGUCAGUCUGCAGGACUCCAGAGCUGGAGAGGAAGGCAGACUCUUUAAAGCAAGGGUCUGCCUCCACGCCUGAGAAAGACGGUGGAGUAAGAACGCGCUGCACAGUCACGAAAGAGUCAGAACAUGGUCCAAAAAUGGAGUCCUUCGAGGGAAUGUCUGAGCGCUUGUGAGAAGACUCCAAGAAGCCAAGACAGGAGGAGCCUUGUGACUUCCGUUUUUUAAAACCACGGAACUGUUCUUGGAUUAUGCUUUUGUGCCUCUCCUGGGACUUCCGGUGACUCAUCAGGACUGGGCAUUGUUAUCUGUUUGUGUGCACUAUGUGCCAUGUGCAGCUUGCCCUCGUGUUUGUACAACUUUCUCAUGUGACUCAUCUCAACCCUCAGAGCAUUAACUGUCCGAUGCUCUGAAUAAAGUUAGCUAUGGCAAGAGA